rnacentral:rRNA from 1 species
CGCUAUCACUCUUACGGGAGGCAGCAGUAGGGAAUCUUCCACAAUGGGCGCAAGCCUGAUGGAGCAACACCGCGUGAGUGAAGAAGGGUUUCGGCUCGUAAAGCUCUGUUGUUAAAGAAGAACACGUAUGAGAGUAACUGUUCAUACGUUGACGGUAUUUAACCAGAAAGUCACGGCUAACUACGUGCCAGCAGCCGCGGUAAUACGUAGGUGGCAAGCGUUAUCCGGAUUUAUUGGGCGUAAAGAGAGUGCAGGCGGUUUUCUAAGUCUGAUGUGAAAGCCUUCGGCUUAACCGGAGAAGUGCAUCGGAAACUGGAUAACUUGAGUGCAGAAGAGGGUAGUGGAACUCCAUGUGUAGCGGUGGAAUGCGUAGAUAUAUGGAAGAACACCAGUGGCGAAGGCGGCUACCUGGUCUGCAACUGACGCUGAGACUCGAAAGCAUGGGUAGCGAACAGGAUUAGAUACCCUGGUAG